UGCAGUCGACGGACUUAAUCGAAAUAUUUAUAUUUUGAAGCGGUUAGUGGCGGACUGGUGAGUAACGCGUAAGGAACCUGCCUAUUAGAGGGGAAUAACAGUGAGAAAUCAUUGCUAAUACCGCAUAUGCCAUAGAUAUCACAUGAUAACAGUGGGAAAGGAGCAAUCCGCUAAUAGAUGGUCUUGCGUCUGAUUAGAUAGUUGGUGGGGUAACGGCCUACCAAGUCGACGAUCAGUAGCCGGACUGAGAGGUUGAACGGCCACAUUGGGACUGAGAUACGGCCCAGACUCCUACGGGAGGCAGCAGUCGGGAAUAUUGCGCAAUGGAGGAAACUCUGACGCAGUGACGCCGCGUAUAGGAAGAAGGUUUUCGGAUUGUAAACUAUUGUCGUUAGGGAAGAGAAAGGACAGUACCUAAGGAGGAAGCUCCGGCUAACUACGUGCCAGCAGCCGCGGUAAUACGUAGGGAGCGAGCGUUAUCCGGAAUUAUUGGGUGUAAAGGGUGCGUAGACGGGAGAACAAGUUAGUUGUGAAAUACCUCGGCUCAACUGAGGAACUGCAACUAAAACUGUACUUCUUGAGUGCAGGAGAGGUAAGUGGAAUUCCUAGUGUAGCGGUGAAUGCGUAGAUAUUAGGAGGAACACC
rnacentral:rRNA from 1 species